rnacentral:lncRNA from 1 species
AAAUUAAGAAGGAUUAUUAGUGAGGUGGAGGAACAACCCUACAUGCAUGCAGACAUGUAUGUGUCUAGUCGGCUAAUGCGUUUCGCCACACCGCCGUCUAAAUCGAAGGCAACUUUUGGACUCGUUCUCCGUCGUCUCGCCGAUCCGAAAUUUGGAAAGGAGAAAGAACUUGGUCUACACGUACGCGAUGCCGCCCUUAACAGCCGGACUUUCGGUGCGCCCCGAAUGAUUAGAGGGGCGCCCCUCGCAUCGCAUCGUCGAUCAUGGUGUGGUGUCAUGGUAAGCUUUUCUUCCCUUUUUCUCUCCGGUGAUCCGCCAUGAAGGAGGACCCGUGAUCACUACCAUGCGGAGGAUAGCGUAUACGUACUAUGG